UACGGGGGGGGCAAGCGUUGUUCGGAAUUACUGGGCGUAAAGGGUGCGUAGGCGGUUCGCUAAGUUGGAUGUGAAAACUCUGGGCUCAACCCAGAGCCUGCAUCCAAUACUGACGAGCUAGAGUUCUGGAGGGGAUAGCGGAAUUCCUGGUGUAGCGGUGAAAUGCGUAGAUAUCAGGAGGAACACCGGUGGCGAAGGCGGCUUUCUGGACAGUAACUGACGCUGAGGCGCGAAAGCUAGGGGAGCAAACGGG
rnacentral:rRNA from 1 species